rnacentral:lncRNA from 1 species
UUAGUAUAUAUUGAUUCUUAUAUUUACACACCUAAAAAUACCUCUAAAACAUCAUCUAAUCAGUGUCGAUGAUUUUGAGGGAAGAAACACAUUAAAAAUAUAUAUAAAGUUGAGAGAUUUGGGAAGGACAAAUGCAUGAAAGGUGAGACAAGUGUGUUGUGUUCUACAUUUCUUCUGUCACACAACAAAAGACAACGUACAACGCAUCGCAUGCAUUGUCUUUCAAACCCGCUAGACUAAAGAGAGGCUUUCACUUUGUCAAGAAUCUCUAACUUUUUUUUUUUUUGGGUAAAACAGUUAGUUCUUUUCUUUAGACCCUCUUGAGGAGCUGGUAGGGCCUGAAUGGGUAUCCACCUGCUAAGGCUAGUGUUGCAAGAUUUUGACAAACUGAAUAGAGAAAACUUGAACAGUUAGUGACACAACAAGUAUGGUAAUUUACAACUUUUGCAAAAUUUGGGAUGAUUAACAGAUAUGAUACUGAAUUGGUGACAGAUAGAGUCAUUUUUCUUUCAAAUUGUGAUACAUAAACCAAUUUCUAUUAUAAUUUGGAAGAUCUAAAACGAUAAAAAUAGGUAAUAAAACAAAUAAUAAAUUGGCACUUUUUUGGGCAUUUCUAGUUAUUGGCUUAUUGCCGUUAAGUUUUACCAUUGUUCAACGUACUUUUUCCCGCCACAGAUAAUUUCUAUCAACAUGAAUAUCAAACUCGUUAGCAUUUUUUAUUUAUUACAAACUGGUUGCAUCUUAGCAAUAUAUAGUAAUUGCUUAAUACUACAUGGUUAAACGAAUGAAUUGUUACUAAAAUAAAAGAUGUUAAGAAAAUAUUGACUAUGAGUCUCAUAAAACAGAAAUUCUCUUAUACAUAAUCCAUGCAUAUAACAGGAAGCUUAUAGACACCAUCCAUGCAUAAAUAUGUUGUCUUCUAAAGACAAAAAGUACUUAUAUAUCAAGAAAUGCUUUGAUCAUGCUUGACUACUCUGUAUGCCACUAGUGAUCGAUUUUGUUAUGAAAUCGGAGCUUACUUGUGGCAUACAGGGAGCCAGGCACGAUUAUAAACCCAUAUAUAAUACAUAUGUAUAUUGUACAAAACCUCUAAUUAUGAAUGAACGAGGGCUUAUACGUCGGUCUUGAUUCGAAUAGAAUCAAAACAUGUAUGUAUUUUAGUUGGGGUAGGGGAGAAAAUGAGACCAGAGAAAAAGUAGCGAUUGUUCUUUGUCAAGGAUUUGUGGAGAUAUGUUACAAGAGGAAUGGUUGUACAAAUAUAUAGAGGAGAAAAGUAAUAAACUAAACUUUGCUAUUACUGAAUAAAAUUCGAAAGAGGCAACAAAAGUCGGAUUUUGAAGGCAAAUAUGAUUUAAUUAAUAACUGAAUAGAUAUACUUAUCUUUAAGAAAAAAUCUUGUAGUUUUUGAAGUGGCCUUGAAAUCCCGCAAAG